GAUGAACGCUAGCUACAGGCUUAACACAUGCAAGUCGAGGGGAAACGAUAGAGAAAGCUUGUCUUUUUCUAGGCGUCGACCGGCGCACGGGUGAGUAACGCGUAUCCAACCUGCCCAUCACGUUGGGGAUAACCUUGCGAAAGUAAGACUAAUACCCAAUGACGUCUCUAGAAGACAUCUGAAGGAGAUUAAAGAUUUAUCGGUGAUGGAUGGGGAUGCGUCUGAUUAGCUUGUUGGCGGGGUAACGCCCACCAAGGCGACGAUCAGUAGGGGUUCUGAGAGGAAGGUCCCCCCANAUUGGAACUGAGACACGGU
rnacentral:rRNA from 1 species